ensembl:snoRNA
CCUGUCCCUAGAGACACUGCAGGUGUGGCUACCGUGUCACAUGUGCGUCAAUAGGUGGCAGAGAGGAGAGAGGCUAUGUCUGUGCUCAGUGUUCUGACCAAUGAACAUCUGAGUGAUUAGUAGCCUGACAUUC